rnacentral:rRNA from 1 species
GAUGAACGCUGGCGGCGUGCCUAAUACAUGCAAGUCGAGCGAACGGACGAGAAGCUUGCUUCUCUGAUGUUAGCGGCGGACGGGUGAGUAACACGUGGAUAACCUACCUAUAAGACUGGGAUAACUUCGGGAAACCGGAGCUAAUACCGGAUGAUAUUUUGAAUCGCAUGGUUCAAAAGUGAAAGACGGUCUUGCUGUCACUUAUAGAUGGAUCCGCGCUGCAUUAGCUAGUUGGUAAGGUAACGGCUUACCAAGGCAACGAUGCAUAGCCGACCUGAGAGGGUGAUCGGCCACACUGGAACUGAGACACGGUCCAGACUCCUACGGGAGGCAGCAGUAGGAAAUCUUCCGCAAUGGGCGAAAGCCUGACGGAGCAACGCCGCGUGAGUGAUGAAGGUCUUCGGAUCGUAAAACUCUGUUAUUAGGGAAGAACAUAUGUGUAAGUAACUGUGCACAUCUUGACGGUACCUAAUCAGAAAGCCACGGCUAACUACGUG